rnacentral:sRNA from 1 species
AUGAGGCUUCGAAAAAGAGAUAUGUACAGUACAGUUGAUCCAUGGAAGAAUUAUGUAGGACUUCUUUUCGACGAAAUCAAAGUGAAAUCAGACUUGGUGUACGAUAAACAUAGUGGCGAACUAAUUGGAUAUUGCAAUCUAGAUAAGGUUGGAAACCAGAUUAUGAACUUUGAAAGAAGUAUGAAAGAUACAAGUUCUACAGAAAAAGAUGCAGACAUUGCAAAAUACAUGCUCGUGUUAAUGGUGAGAGGUGUUGCAACAGACUUAAAAUUUCCUUUAGCAGGCUUUGCUACCUUAAGUAUUACUGCUGAUUAUCUUUAUCCAAUUAUUUGGAAGGCUAUUCGCAUUUUAGAGACCGGCUUUGCUCAACUUAAAGUACUCUUUCUGACUUGUGAUGGCGCAUCUGCAAAUAGGAAGUUCUUCAACAUUCAUGGACAGGUGAAUGAAUUUAUUCAUUACACAACCAAUCCUUAUGCCGAUGACGAAAGAAAACUUUAUUUCAUCUCAGAUGUUCCCCAUCUUGUGAAAACAACUAGAAACUGUUUCAGCAAUUCAUAUUCACACAAAAACACCAGAAAAAUGUGGAAAGAUGGGAAAGAUAUUUCGUGGAUGCAUCUGUUGAAAUUGUUUGAAGACCAUUGUGAACUAUCACUGUACAGUCCGUGUCCAAAAUUGACAAGAAGUCACCUUGACAUGACAACCUACGGUUGCAUGAAAGUCAACAUUGCAGCACAAGUUUUGAGCUCCACAGUAGCGAAUGCCCUUGAAAUGAUGUAUGGAGAUAAUGUAACCGAAACAGUUAAUUUCAUCAGAAUUAUGAACAAAUUUUUUGAUUGUUUGAAUGUAAGAAACUUAUAUGAAGGUAGAAAUAAGAGAAAUCCUGACCUUGAACCAUAUAUACAACAGUCAAUGAUGAAAGAUUACAGUGGUUGAGAGUAGACUUUAUUAAGUACUUUGAUUCCUGGGAACAAUCAGUGAUGCAAAGAGCUGGUAAUUUUUCAAGGAAACAACGCAAAGGAAUGCAAUUGAGUCAUCAAACAUUGACAGGUUUUAAAAUCAGUGUGUUUUCAAUUGUAGACUGUGUUAAAUUUCUAUUAGAAUCUGGCGCAAAGUUUGUCCUCACACAUCACUUUAACCAAGAUCCCUUGGAGCAACAUUUUGGACACUACCGACACAGGGUUGGGGACAAUAACAACCCUACAGUGAAUGAUGUUCGUCAUAUGAUGACCUCCAUGAGAGCGGUUGGAGCUCAAGCUUUGGCACCCAAACGAGGAAAUGUCAGUAACCAGAGAGACAGGAAC